rnacentral:rRNA from 2 species
AUGGACGAAAGUCUGACGGAGCAACGCCGCGUGAACGAAGAAGGCCUUCGGGUCGUAAAGUUCUGUUGUUAGGGAAGAACAAGUACCAGAGUAACUGCUGGUACCUUGACGGUACCUAACCAGAAAGCCACGGCUAACUACGUGCCAGCAGCCGCGGUAAUACGUAGGUGGCAAGCGUUGUCCGGAAUUAUUGGGCGUAAAGCGCGCGCAGGUGGUUCCUUAAGUCUGAUGUGAAAGCCCACGGCUCAACCGUGGAGGGUCAUUGGAAACUGGGGAACUUGAGUGCAGAAGAGGAAAGUGGAAUUCCAAGUGUAGCGGUGAAAUGCGUAGAGAUUUGGAGGAACACCAGUGGCGAAGGCGACUUUCUGGUCUGUAACUGACACUGAGGCGCGAAAGCGUGGGGAGCAAACAGGAUUAGAUACCCUGGUAGUCCACGUCGUAAACGAUGAGUGCUAAGUGUUAGAGGGUUUCCGCCCUUUAGUGCUGCAGCUAACGCAUUAAGCACUCCGCCUGGG